GACGAACGCUGGCGGCGUGCUUAACACAUGCAAGUCGAACGGAAAGGCCCUGCUCUUGCGGGGUGCUCGAGUGGCGAACGGGUGAGUAACACGUGAGUAACCUGCCCCUGACUUUGGGAUAACUCCAGGAAACUGGGGCUCAUACCGGAUAGGAGCUCCUGCUGCACGGUGGGGGUUGGAAAGUUUCGGCGGUUGGGGAUGGACUCGCAGCUUAUCAGCUUGUUGGUGGGGUAGUGGCUUACCAAGGCUUCGACGGAUAGCCGGCCUGAGAGGGUGACCGGCCACAUUGGGACUGAGAUACGGCCCAGACGCCUACGGGAGGCAGCAGUGGGGAAUAUUGCGCAAUGGGCGGAAGCCUGAGGCAGCAACGCCGCGUGCGGGAUAACGGCCUUCGAGUUAUAAACCGCUUUCGCCUGUGACGAGGCGUGAGUGACGGUAAUGGGUAAGGAAGCACCGGCUAACUACGUG
rnacentral:rRNA from 1 species